UACGUAGGGGGCAAGCGUUGUCCGGAUUUAUUGGGCGUAAAGAGCGUGUAGGCGGCUUGGUAGGUCCGCUGUGAAAACUCGAGGCUCAACCUCGAGAUGUCGGCGGAAACCACUUGGCUAGAGUCCGGAAGAGGAGAAUGGAAUUCCUGGUGUAGCGGUGAAAUGCGCAGAUAUCAGGAAGAACACCCGUGGCGAAGGCGGUUCUCUGGGCCGAUACUGACGCUGAGGAGCGAAAGCGUGGGGAGCGAACAGG
rnacentral:rRNA from 1 species